GUGACUGAAAUUGAUCAAUACACCUAAUUGUUUAUUAUCAAAGAGGUAGGUGCUCCAGAAACUGCACUGAUAACUAAAAAUGCGGAAAAAUGUAUGUAUAGGAAGUUUGUUUUGCUUUCACUUUUUCCAAUUCCAAAUCA
ensembl:ncRNA M01A8.4 ncRNA